ACCUGCCUGUAAGACUGGGAUAACUCCGGGAAACCGGGGCUAAUACCGGAUAACCCGUUCCACCUCAUGGUGGAGCGGUAAAAGAUGGCCUCUGGCUAUCACUUACAGAUGGGCCCGCGGCGCAUUAGCUAGUUGGUAAGGUAACGGCUUACCAAGGCGACGAUGCGUAGCCGACCUGAGAGGGUGAUCGGCCACACUGGGACUGAGACACGGCCCAGACUCCUACGGGAGGCAGCAGUAGGGAAUCUUCCGCAAUGGACGAAAGUCUGACGGAGCAACGCCGCGUGAGUGAUGAAGGUUUUCGGAUCGUAAAGCUCUGUUGUUAGGGAAGAACAAGUGCCGUUUGAAUAAGGCGGCACCUUGACGGUACCUAACCAGAAAGCCACGGCUAACUACGUGCCAGCAGCCGCGGUAAUACGUAGGUGGCAAGCGUUGUCCGGAAUUAUUGGGCGUAAAGCGCGCGCAGGCGGUCUCUUAAGUCUGAUGUGAAAGCCCACGGCUCAACCGUGGAGGGUCAUUGGAAACUGGGAGACUUGAGUACAGAAGAGGAGAGUGGAAUUCCACGUGUAGCGGUGAAAUGCGUAGAUAUGUGGAGGAACA
rnacentral:rRNA from 1 species